CAAACUCAAGUAGUACAUUCAAACUUGCUUGAAUUUUUCUAAACUAUCAUAAUUGCGUAGAAGACAUGCUACUUAUUCUUUGUAUUUCUGAAAGCGUUAUCUAUUGACUUAAUAUUGGUAGAACUCUCCGCGUGCUUCAGAAUUUAAAUACUGGAGUAGGCAGUCAACCGCGGUUACGUUGGUGAUCUUUGGCCACCAUUUCAUGUGUAGCUAAAACUCGCUAGAUCAAAAGCUAACAUCUCUGUCCUGUUUGAGCCGGCUAGUGAUCUACGGGUUACUGUCUGCAUUUAAUUAACGAAGUUAUCGCUUCUCCGAGACGUAGUUAUAACCAUUACCUAAGGUUUGCUGCGAAUUCUGGUGCAAAUUCCAGUCGUUUAUACAAAUCACAAACUAGUAAAAUUGCUUGGUAAGUGACUGCAGAUAAAUCAUUUUUUAAGUGCUGAGAAUUAAUGACCCACCUGCAACUCUACAACUGUAGGCUACAACGAUGCUCGUUGCACACUGGUGCAAUAUUCCUUCAAAGGAGGAAGAAACAGACUGAGGGCCUGAAGCUCACAGCUACAGAGAGUGGCGUAGCCAGGUGGCAAUAGGACUGCAGAUUUGCCUGCCAUCCCAGUCAUCCAUCCUGCGCACCGUCCCGCGAAAACGUGUCCACUGGCGAGGGCUACGGGAGUCAUGGCCUGCACCCCACACCCCGUGCCAGGCUAAUUUUGGGCCUGGGCUGUCUCCGGCUGGCCCCCUCAUUAAUCAUCACGCAGUUGGAGGUGAAAAAAACAAACAAUACCCUGAGGACGUGAGGGGCGAUUUUCAAGUGGUGGGAACGAGUUUACAACUUUUCAAAAAUAUAACGUCCUCAGCAGGGGGUUUAGGCCCAUGAAUCUGCCAGUUGAUAAAAGUUAACACUCAGCGGAGUAUGUCAGGAGGCCCCACCUCCACCCUCUCACCAUCUGCGGGGGA